GUGCUACGGAGCCAUUUCCCUAAUCGAUCAGGUGCUCCCUGCAUUCUCUCUCAGCUGUACCGUGUUUUCAAGGCCACACUGCAGCAGGACUAGCUAGGAGCACCGGUGAGCAACUUGUCGACGAGGUGUGUGGCAGCUUUGACGGCAGCAGCGGCGCAGCAUGUCGUGGUGUUGUUUGCUCACAGCAGCCACCCAGUUUUGCGCUUCUCCGCUGGACGCUGUAGGGGUGCCGUGCCAUAUGGAAGACGGGAAGAUGCUCACAUGCCGGUUUGCUGGGUUUGCCGGGAAGCUCAGCCCGACGAGUUUGGGUUCUUCAACCUUCUCCAUGGAUUCAAUGGCAUGAUUUUGUGUAAACGAAAAUCUUGCAAGGAAGAGGUUACGAACCUGAAUGGUAUGGAGGACGUACUACAUGUGUACAUCAAGGGAAAAAAGAGGAGAAACGUGUAUUUGAACCCAAGAGCCUUGACACCCACUAAUUACUUUGUAGAGUCCUCAAGAUCUAUAUAACUGCCUACAGGUACUUAUUUUCCUAUCUAAGUAGGACCUCCAUCAUUAUAGCCGCCUCCACCUGCACUUCUCCACUUCUUUGCUGUUGCCGAGCACUAGCAUUUUCGGCCAUCAAUUUUGCUCACUGCCGCUCACGGUCCAUAUGCUGCAGCUUCGAGCAUCUUCUUGCAGCAAAAGACAGCAAAGGAAAUGAUGUUGGCUCUGCUGGAUGGAACAAAUUUGAACUAAUGUUCUGCUGAGCAUUCUACUUCUACGUACAUCAAAGUUAUCCACAAUUGACUCGUGAUUUCUCAUCAUAGCUGUGUCCUUCACUGCUCCUUUGUUUUGCUUGAAGUGUUAGAUUUUUGUCAUGGGUGAAUAAAGAGAUAGAAAAUAGAGGCUCACGCCUCAAGAUGUUUGAUGUUAGGACUAAACAGAAAGGAGAGGACCAUUUUUUUGUUUGGCAAGUUUGCUAGCAUCAAACUGUAUCAAGUUCAGUGACUCAUGUGCAUAUGGUAAGUGUGUUUAAUAGAAUGAUUCGUGCAAAAUCUUAUCCAA